rnacentral:tmRNA from 1 species
GUACUGGUUUCGACAGGGAUCUGGAAGUUGGUGAAGCGAGUCGCAGGAGUGCGUUAAACUCAACCUUAAAUUUAAACGCUGAUAGUAAAUUAGCAAUCGCUGCCUAAUUACGGUAGCAGUCUGCUCUAGUGCACCUGCACAUUAGAAUCCAGGCUUCGACUAUGCAGGAAACGACAUAUGUUAGGCUUCGUAGCAUAUGGGCGUAUUACGAGGCUACCUGAUUCGCUUGGUUGUCUGUCACUUGGCAGUUGGGGAAUUAAUCUUGGCAGACUACGCUCGUAGAAGAACAAUGAAAAGGUUUUUGGACAGGGGUUCAACUCCCCUCUAGUCCA